rnacentral:rRNA from 1 species
CCUACGGGAGGCAGCAGUGGGGAAUAUUGCACAAUGGGGGAAACCCUGAUGCAGCGACGCCGCGUGCGUGAAGAAGUACUUCGUUAUGUAAAGCUCUAUCAGCAGGGAAGAAAAUGACGGUACCUGAAUAAUAAGCCCCGGCUAACUACGUGCCAGCAGCCGCGGUCAUACGUAGGGGGCAAGCGUUAUCCGGAUAUUCUGGGUGUAAAGGGAGCGUAGACGGCAGUGCAAGUCUGGAGUGAAAGGCGGGGGGUCAACCCCCGGACUGCUCUGGAAACUGUACGGCUGGAGUGAAGGAGAGGUAAGUGGAAUUCCAAGUGUAGCGGUGAAAUGCGUAGAUAUUAGGAGGAACACCAGUGGCGAAGGCGGCUUACUGGACUGUAACUGACGUUGAGGCGCGAAAGCGUGGGGAGCAAACAGGAUUAGAUACCCCAGUAGUC